GAGUUUGAUCCUGGCUCAGGAUGAACGCUAGCGGCAGGCUUAAUACAUGCAAGUCGAGGGGCAGCGGGGUAGCAAUACCGCCGGCGACCGGCAAACGGGUGCGGAACACGUACACAACCUUCCUUAAGGUGGGGGAUAGCCCAGAGAAAUUUGGAUUAAUACCUCAUAGUAUAUUGGGUUGGCAUCAAUCUGAUAUUAAAGAUUUAUUGCCUUAAGAUGGGUGUGCGUAUGAUUAGGUAGUUGGUGUAGGUAACGGCUCACCAAGCCUUCGAUCAUUAACUGGUGUGAGAGCACGACCAGUCACACGGGCACUGAGACACGGGCCCGACUCCUACGGGAGGCAGCAGUAAGGAAUAUUGGUCAAUGGACGAAAGUCUGAACCAGCCAUGCCGCGUGAAGGAUGAAGGCCCUCUGGGUUGUAAACUUCUUUUAUGGGGGGCGAAAAAAGGGUUUUUUAACUCGUCUGACGGUACCCUAUGAAUAAGCACCGGCUAACUCCGUGCCAGCAGCCGCGGUAAUACGGAGGGUGCAAGCGUUAUCCGGAUUCACUGGGUUUAAAGGGAGCGCAGGCGGACAUGUAAGUCAGUGGUGAAAUACCUGAGCUUAACUCGGGAACUGCCAUUGAUACUAUGUGUCUUGAAUAUUGUUGAGGUUUGCGGAAUGGGUCAUGUAGCGGUGAAAUGCAUAGAUAUGACCCGGAACACCAAUUGCGAAGGCAGCAGGCUAAACAAAGAUUGACGCUGAGGCUCGAAAGCGUGGGGAUCAAACAGGAUUAGAUACCCUGGUAGUCCACGCCGUAA
rnacentral:rRNA from 1 species